GGCCUACCAUGGUGGUAACGGGUAACGGGGUGUUAGGGCACGACACCGGAGAGGGAGCCUGAGAAACGGCUACCACAUCCAAGGAUGGCAGCAGGCGCGCAAAUUACCCAAUCCCGACACGGGGAGGUAGUGACAAUAAAUAACAAUACGGGGUUCUUUAGGAUCUCGUAAUUGGAAUGAGUACAAUUUAAAUCUCUUAACGAGGAACAAUUGGAGGGCAAGUCUGGUGCCAGCAGCCGCGGUAAUUCCAGCUCCAAUAGCGUAUAUUAAAGUUGUUGCAGCUAAAAAGCUCGUAGUUGAAUUUCGGGGUUAGUAAGUUGGUCAUGCCUUCGGUAUGUACUGGCUUUACUGAUUCCUCCUUCUUGACGAACCGUGAUGUCAUUAAUUUGGUGUUGCGGGAAAUCAGGACUGUUACUUUGAAAAAAUUAGAGUGUUUAAAGCAGGCUAACGCUUGAAUACAUUAGCAUGGAAUAAUGAAAUAGGACGUUAAUCCUACUUUGUUGGUUUCUAGGAUCGACGUAAUGAUUAAUAGGGAUAGUUGGGGGCAUUAGUAUUCAAUUGUCAGAGGUGAAAUUCUUGGAUUUAUUGAAGACUAACUACUGCGAAAGCAUUUGCCAAGGAUGUUUUCAUUAAUCAAGAACGAAAGUUAGGGGAUCGAAGACGAUCAGAUACCGUCGUAGUCUUAACCAUAAACUAUGCCGACUAGGGAUCGGAUGAUGUUAAUUUUUAAUGACUCAUUCGGCGCCUUACG
rnacentral:rRNA from 1 species